CUGAAAUGGAGAGUAAGAUUGUUCUUAGUCAUCAUCCUCUUCAACUUCCCCUUCUUCAAAUUCAGGAGAAGAAUGGAGAACAGAUAUGGGAGGAGAAGAAUUUAAAGCUUACCACUGAGACAAAAAUCGCUCAGGCUUUAUGAGAGUUAGCAAACCAUGAAGAACCCUUCAUGGUGGUAGAGAAUAUGUGCACAACUGAGCAAAAGGGUACCAAGGGGAUGAAGUUGUUGACCAUGAAGAAGAGAUCGUGGAAAAUAAAGAAGACGCAGAUAAAGAAGAAAAUGAACAGUAACCUGAAAAGGUUCUCCUUUGUCCACUUGGUGGCAGCAUCGCCCGAGUCACUAACAAGAAGCCACACCAGGACCCUCCCUUGACUUUUCCAAAGGAUAUCUUCAAGAACUUUCACAUUCAAGCAUUCAUUCUCUUAUAGAACAGAGCAAAGAGAGAUGACACCAGUCACAAGCCCAGGAGCAUCUUUCACUUCUAUCACUCACUGUUUUUUUUAGUCUUUUUUAAAUUUUAAAGAAAUUAUCAACUCUCUUGUGCUAGAGAUUUAAAACUAGAAGACACCCUGUCAGUCAACUGAGGAUCCAUUAUUGAUAACAGAAGUUAAGCUAAGCAGAAGACAAACUUGGGAAGGUAAAAAUGUAAUUACUAUGUUCCUAAGAAGAUCCUAAAAGUACUAGAGGAGAGAAAUUCU
rnacentral:lncRNA from 1 species